AGAAAAAUCAGAGUCUUCUGACGAUAACAUGAGCCAAUCUAUGCCUCAGACUAUGGUCUGCACCGGUGAAUUACAGCUGUGGAAUCUCUGCACAAUUUGUAUCUGAUCCUCGAAUGAAUGUAAGCUGCAAGCUCUUCUACCUUUAUGACAGCCCUGAAACAUAUGUAAGAUCCUGAGCUUUCUCAAAAGGCAAAGCUGAUCUCUCCAGAUGAGGAACUUGAGGCCCUGGGAAAUGAAGUGUCGUGUCCAAGUUUACACAGUGACGGAACCUGAAUCAGAAGUUCCCAGGCCUUUGCAUUAUGGCUACAGAGAACAUACCACCAGCUAUUGACCACUGGUUUAAGACACCUGCUUGUGAAAGAUUUUCUUCAUCAGGCCAUUCCAUUAAUAUCAAGCGAUCUGCUUCUGGGUGACAGGAGAGUCAUAAAUGCUAAAGGUAAGAGCCCUUUGCCACACAUCCUUUGCCACCAAAUAAGUGCUUUUGUGAGAUACCAUGUCAAUGGAUAAGGCAUCUGUAGGUCCACAAAUAGGAAUGCCAGCAGAAGAAUUCUGAUAAAAUAAAGCAAAAGUGUAUCUGAGAUACACAUUUAUGCCUGUGAGGACAAAUCACUGUCUACUCUGUGCUUUAUUAAAGACCAUGGCUGCUGAAAAGCUGGGCAAUCAACAGUGGCUCUGGCCAAAUAAGCUUUGGGGAUAAGAAAUCCAUAAUAAGCCUCCAUCUUUGCCUCUAUUUCCACUUUCUACAUGGGCUCAUUGAAUAAGCACCAGUGUUGCCAAAAAAAAGGAGAGUGACUGACAGCUACCUUUCCUACCUAUUUAUUGAGAGCAUUUACACAUCAAUAGCUGAAAAACCAGGUGCCAGGAGUGGUUAUUGAUUUUUUUUCCUAAUAAAGAUAUAUCCAAAACCUCAGCUGUGAUUGCCAUAACCACCUUAUUAAGUCUGGAACAAUCUACCAUUAUUCUCUAAGACCCAUCUGGCUCUUGGAUCUGCCAAGCAAGACUAGUUAAAUGGGGAUGUGGUAGGAAUAAUCACCCCUGCAUCUCCCAAGUCUCUGAUGGUGGCACUAAUCUUUGCAGUUCCUCCAAAGAAUGCCACAUUGCAUUGAGCUUAUUAUUUUGGGGCUUCCACUUGGCUCCUCCUAUCAUACAAUCUUCAUUCCACAUAAUAGAGAGCUAAUGUGAGUAUUCUGCCAAUUGAGUAUAUCACUUUUCUGGAAGUGGGAAAAUAACCAGAUGAAAAUUGGGUAAGAGAAGACACUUGUGCUUGCCAAUGAUUACUAGUGGCUUAUCCCUUUCCCUCUGCUCCCAUCGAGGAGGUUAUCUAUGCACUCCUCAACUUUGAACAACCCAAUCUUGGAAUCUUGUUUUUUUCAGAGGCUGUGUCCUGGGCCCACUUCUUCCAGUACUAAUUACUAUGUAAGUCAAGAUUCUGGCAGGGAACAAGUAGUACAUCCAAAUUAGGGUAAUUGGAGAAUGUAAUAAAGGGAUAUUUUACAAAGGUGUGGGUAGAUUUAACAGAAAUCAAUAAGGGAUAGAGAAGCCACACAGGAUUAGCAACAUCAGGGAGCAACCCCUGGAACUCAAGAAGAGGGAAUAGUUAUGGGGACUGAGAAAGAGCUGUAACCUCCAGUAAGGAUUACAGCCACUGCUAACCUGCAUAAGGAGGGAGCCAGAGAAAUUAGUACCCUGAUCUCAAGAUACCCCAAGCCAAUAGGUUUCCCACCCCCAGUAGACCAAUUCUGUCUCUCUUCAGGGAAUCUUAAUUCCAAAGCAGACAUUGCAAUGGCACUGUCCAAAAUUGACCAUGCUUGAGCUCUCCUACUUUCCAAACUCAAGUUGGUCAGCCUUUUCUUCAACUCACUGAACUACCUUCCUCCUGCUGUAACUCUUUCUUUCUGUUUACUUUUGGCUAAAUCAAUCAGAGCCAUUUCCAGUAGCAACGAUAAUUUGAGUCUCAGGUGGCGAAAAAGUAGAAAAUGUUUCUAAAAUUUCCAAAAUCUAACUUCUGGCCAAUAAUUAAUUCCACUUAAUAUUCCCAUUCAAACUAGUUUCCAUAGGUAGAGCACAUUUCAAGUGCUGAAUCCUGGAGGAUGAGCCAAUGUGUCAAAAGAAAAGACAAGGGAAGCAAAAUGAUCUGAACUUCACCUUCCAAUGAUUUAUAGAACGAGACAUGAAGGUUAUAAGGCAGGUCCACUCACAUCAACAAUAAAGUGAGCAGAAAGAGGUUGUUGGACUAGGACCUGAUGAAAGAAAGACACCAAAAGCUUCUGUGCAUGACCCCUCCACCUUGUGCCCUUGAAGAGGUUUUUAAGUAGAGAUGAGACCAGCAAAACUAUUUUUAGAAGGACCACUCUGGCUGCAGGAUGAAAAAGAAGUAGGCUGGAGGAGCGACCCAAUUGGAGUUUGCUACAGGGUCUGUGCAGAAGAAGGUGCCCAAGCAGGCAAGGCCAGGAAUGGGCUCCAGGAGUGCACUGGGCAGGUGACUGGAAUGUUUGUCAUCUGAUCAUGUGGUGACUGGAAGGAUAAUUCAGACAUCAUCAUCCAUCUCUAUUGAGAUAAGCAAGAAGAGAAUUUAUUCCUUCUUUUUAUAUCCCUUAAGUGUGCUUAUUUC